rnacentral:tRNA from 1 species
GGAAAUAUGGCUCAAUGGUAGAGUGCUUGCUUAGCAUGCAUGAAGCCCUGGGUUCGAUUCCUCUGUAUCA